UAUCAAUACUAAUACACAGAUUGCAACAGCUAUAAUCUGCAGUACUGUUUGGGAGACCCUCAGAAGAUAAACAGCUUGUUGUCAACAUUAAAUUUAUUAUCAAUACAUGAAAGAAUUUUGAAGGUGUUCUAUGCUGAAAAAUCAAAGAACUACAGGUAUUUGUGUGUGCUGAUUGGUAAGGUUUUAUG